UUAUUAGUAUGUAUCACACUACACAGCACGACGGGCCAGCGACCAACAGGAACGAGAGUUUCAAUCGCGUGAGGCGCGAGAGACUAAAGAAUCUAAUAUAAUAUUGUAAUAAUUAUUUUGUUUUCAUGCGAUGUCCAAGUCGAUCUAUUUGUUUAAAACGUUAAAUAUUUUUAAUAUUGGCAUGAUAAUAACUUAUGUAAUAACUUAAGACAGAAGGUCCUUCAAGUAGACACUAAAUAGAUUAACCGACUUGGUAUUACAUGGAUCUCACAACUUUUGACGGUAGAAAGACUGAGCUGCGAGACUUGGGUUUUUUACAGGAUGUUUUUGAUGGGAUCUCACUUCUUUUUGUAGAGCCUUUCUUUUUGAUACCAUCUACUUCUAUCGAAUUUUGUUAAAGGUCUUAUGAUAUUUUCUUAUUUUUAUAUGUAGUCUUCCUCUUUUUCUUUUCCGGUACUACUUCUUGAGCUUCAGCCACAGUUUUUCUCAAAGCCCACUCCCUGUCUCUAUGGGCUUUUCUCGGAGGCUUUGAUGUCUCAAUUUUAGGUUUCGAGGCACAUCCGAACAGCAUGAGGGCGCUCGCACGUAUGCGUGCGGCUGCCGCUCGCUCGAAGGCAUUCACAUUUCAUUGUUCUGUCAUUUUGGCGUAUAUUUUGCUUGUCAGUCAUAGAGUAAAAUAGAGGCCAGUCUGUCUGUAAGGAGGCUAGUCGCGCUAACAAUUUAUAUAUAACAGAUUUAAAUUAUAA